rnacentral:misc_RNA from 1 species
GAGUUCAGUCUUCCCGGGCCCACCAUGCUUCGCCGUUUGGCUACGCAUGGCGCAGCCGGGAACGGGCGGUGACGCGGAAGUUGCCGAACCCCGAAGAAGUUUGGGGCGAUCGAGCUGAUGGGGCUGUAGCUCAGCUGGGAGAGCACCUGCUUUGCAAGCAGGGGGUCAGCGGUUCGAUCCCGCUCAGCUCCACCAUUGUUUUGUCCUGACGCUGUCGCGCCUUUGGCGCUGCGCUCCGGACGGGCCGCCGAACGAUCGGCGAUAGGCCUCUGGCCUAUGUGGUUGGACGUAACGAAGUUUGUCUUCUGAAGAAAUAAAGGUUUUGCAUCGGCUUUCGGGCUUGAUGCGUGUUCUGCAUACAUUGUGAAGAGAAGAUUGAUCUGGAGGCUUCCAGGUGUUUUGAGUGACCGUAUGGUUGUUCAAGGCGUCCGAGCCCGGUCUUUAUGAAACCAUGGAUGGCCUAGCCGGCCGGAUGUGGUGGAGAGAUCGGAGGUAGGAAGGAAGCUUGUCGCUCUGGGUCGUCGUUGUUAGCGCUUUCGAGUGCUUCUGACGGACGGCUGGAUUACCGUUGCCUGACCGCGCGGUACCGGAUUUAAUCUCGAGAAGCUGGUCUUAAGGUAUGGCCAGGCGCACGCUCGGCGUGUGCGCUUAAAGAAUGGACCAUACCGAACACGUCGAUGGCAUCUGAUUGGCGCGAUUGUAAAAGGUAAUCGCGCUUUGGACUGACCGUCUGGUCAGAUUUGGCACCCCUUCGAGCGCAAGCGAGAAGGCAAGGUUUGCCAAAUCCAAUAAGGAUGAGCAUUGGCAAUGAGAACGAUCAAGUGUCGUAAGGGCAUUUAGUGGAUGCCUAGGCAUGCACAGGCGAUGAANGACGUGAUACGCUGCGAAAAGCCGUGGGGAGCUGCGAAUAAGCUUUGAUCCA